CUUCUGUAAUCAAGAACAACAGAGGAGGAAGCAGAAAGGAGAGAAACUGCUCAUAGGCAGAGUCCACGACGUUACUACGUUAUUCAGCAAAAUGACAAGGAGUUCUGCUCCUAAAUGGAGAACAGGCUGGCCGACCCAGUUUUCCCUCAUCAGAUUGAGCAACUGUGGGAAGUUCUGAAUGAAGUCCAAUCCAUGGAGUCCUACCACUCCACUUACAGGACACAGAGACUCUUCUAGCAUGUCAGUCCCAGGUCGUUUCUCGCGGAGGCUGUGUUCUGUGGGGACUGAUGGCUUUUUUUAUUUUAAGACAAGAGGACGACAACAUUGUUCAUGAUGACAGCUCUCCAUAUUUCCCUCAGAACCACAGCGGCUCGGCUCGGCUAUUUCUGACGGAGCCGAGCCCAAGGUCAUCAUCUGUACUCGCUCCGGUGCUCUCUCCCGGUUGCUUAGAGUGCACAAAGUGCAGCAGCCGAGGUGCUUACCUACAUAUGGAUUAUGUCCUCUGUCUCCCCCCGUACCGCCACACACAACGAGCCUAAGUUAUUUUAUGUGGCUGUCAUAAAGCUGCCGGUGAAUAACAGCCAAAGGAAUCCCCGCUGAAAAACAUAAAGGCGCCUGACAUAAAAAAAAAAAAAAAGAAAGAAAAAGAGGAAUGAUGCACAGACCUGGAACGCCACAUCAUCCCUGCAGCUACACAAACGUAGCCCUUUACUGCUCCCGAUCAGCCAAGCCCACGCUUUAAAAAAGACGGAACAAUACUGCCACAGCCCCGGAUAGUUGCCAAAUGAAUAUUUACACAAUUCAAUCGCAGGAGACACGGGGCACAGAUCACGUUGCACACAAUUAACAAGAGGCAGGCCGUUUCCAGAGGGCCCGCGGGCGCUGAAGAGAAAUGCACAGAGGUUCAAAUGAGAAGGGUGUGAAUAUGGAUUUGGCGUCAUCAUCCAAGGUGACACACAGUGAAAAAGAAAGCAAAAGAGUGAAAGAGCAGUAAAAAUGAGGCUUCGUGGAGAAUUAGGUUUGAAAAGAAAAAAAAAACCUUAAUGAGAGAGAGAGAGAAAAAACAAAACAAAGGGAGAGGCAGACCUCAGCAACGCAUCACAGCUGGGAAUAGCUCACUUCCUGAGGCUUUCCAAACUCAGGAAUAUCUUGUAUCUGAAAUCCUUACUUUAUUAAACUAGUGGAGUAAUUAAGAGCAGAAUAGUAGGAGAGGCAGCUCAUUUAACUUUUUACCCAGAUUGAUCCACAUGAGUAAUUUUUAUAUAAGUAAAUAUCUUUAAAAAUAUUUUGAGAAUUAUUUUAUAUUAUUU